AGAGUUUGAUCCUGGCUCAGGAUGAACGCUAGCUACAGGCUUAACACAUGCAAGUCGAGGGGCAGCAUCAUCAAAGCUUGCUUUGAUGGAUGGCGACCGGCGCACGGGUGAGUAACACGUAUCCAACCUGCCGACAACACUGGGAUAGCCUUUCGAAAGAAAGAUUAAUACCGGAUGGCAUAGUCUUCCCGCAUGGGAUGACUAUUAAAGAAUUUCGGUUGUCGAUGGGGAUGCGUUCCAUUAGGCAGUUGGCGGGGUAACGGCCCACCAAACCUACGAUGGAUAGGGGUUCUGAGAGGAAGGUCCCCCACAUUGGAACUGAGACACGGUCCAAACUCCUACGGGAGGCAGCAGUGAGGAAUAUUGGUCAAUGGACGAGAGUCUGAACCAGCCAAGUAGCGUGAAGGAUGACUGCCCUAUGGGUUGUAAACUUCUUUUAUACGGGAAUAAAGUGAGCCACGUGUGGCUUUUUGUAUGUACCGUAUGAAUAAGGAUCGGCUAACUCCGUGCCAGCAGCCGCGGUAAUACGGAGGAUCCGAGCGUUAUCCGGAUUUAUUGGGUUUAAAGGGAGCGUAGGCGGGUUGUUAAGUCAGUUGUGAAAGUUUGCGGCUCAACCGUAAAAUUGCAGUUGAUACUGGCGACCUUGAGUGCAACAGAGGUAGGCGGAAUUCGUGGUGUAGCGGUGAAAUGCUUAGAUAUCACGAAGAACUCCGAUUGCGAAGGCAGCUUACUGGAUUGUAACUGACGCUGAUGCUCGAAAGUGUGGGUAUCAAACAGGAUUAGAUACCCUGGUAGUCCACACAGUAAACGAUGAAUACUCGCUGUUUGCGAUAUACAGUAAGCGGCCAAGCGAAAGCAUUAAGUAUUCCACCUGGGGAGUACGCCGGCAACGGUGAAACUCAAAGGAAUUGACGGGGGCCCGCACAAGCGGAGGAACAUGUGGUUUAA
rnacentral:rRNA from 1 species